rnacentral:rRNA from 1 species
CACUUCCUACGGGAGGCAGCAGUGGGGGAUAUUGGGCAAUGGGGGAAACCCUGAUGCAGCAACGCCGCGUGAGUGAAGAAGGUUUUCGGAUUGUAAAGCUCUGUUAGCAGGGAAGAGGAAGGACGGUACCUGCAGAGGAAGCCACGGCUAACUACGUGCCAGCAGCCGCGGUAAUACGUAGGUGGCAAGCGUUGUUCGGAAUAACUGGGCGUAAAGGAUGCGUAGGCGGUUAAACAAGUUAUAUGUUAAAUAUAUAGGCUUAACCUGUAGAAAGCAUAUAAAACUGUUUAA